rnacentral:rRNA from 1 species
GAUGAACGCUGGCGGCGUGCCUAACACAUGCAAGUCGAACGGUCCGCAAGGACAGUGGCGCACGGGUGAGGAACACGUAGCUGACCUGCCUCAGAGAGCGGGAUAACGGGUCGAAAGACCUGCUAAUACCGCAUAAGCUCACGGUGUUUGGAAGGCUGUGAGAAAAGGAGCAAUCCGCUUUGAGAGGGGGCUGCGACCCAUCAGGUAGUUGGUAAGGUAACGGCUACCAAGCCGACGACGGGUAACGGGUCUGAGAGGAUGAUCCGUCACACUGGGACUGAGACACGGCCCAGACUCCUACGGGAGGCAGCAGUGAGGAAUAUUGCGCAAUGGGCGAAAGCCUGACGCAGCGACGCCGCGUGGGGA